rnacentral:rRNA from 1 species
GGAGCAAUCCUGGUGGCGAGUGGCGAACGGGUGAGUAAUAUAUCGGAACGUGCCCAGUCGUGGGGGAUAACGUAGAGAAAUUUACGCUAAUACCGCAUACGAUCUAAGGAUGAAAGCGGGGGACUUCGCAAGAGGCCUCGCGCGAUUGGAGCGGCUGAUAUCAGAUUAGGUUGUUGGUGAGGUAAAAGCUCACCAAGCCGACGAUCUGUAGCUGGUUUGAGAGAACGACCAGCCACACUGGGACUGAGACACGGCCCAGACUCCUACGGGAGGCAGCAGUGGGGAAUUUUGGACAAUGGGCGAAAGCCUGAUCCAGCAAUGCCGCGUGCAGGAAGAAGGCCUUCGGGUUGUAAACUGCUUUUGUACGGAACGAAAAGGUCUGCCCUAAUACGGUGGGCCCAUGACGGUACCGUAAGAAUAAGCACCGGCUAACUACGUGCCAGCAGCCGCGGUAAUACGUAGGGUGCGAGCGUUAAUCGGAAUUACUGGGCGUAAAGCGUGCGCAGGCGGUGAUGUAAGACAGUUGUGAAAUCCCCGGGCUCAACCUGGGAAUUGCAUCUGUGACUGCAUCGCUAGAGUACGGUAGAGGGGGAUGGAAUUCCGCGUGUAGCAGUGAAAUGCGUAGAUAUGCGGAGGAACACCGAUGGCGAAGGCAAUCCCCUGGACCUGUACUGACGCUCAUGCACGAAAGCGUGGGGAGCAAACAGGAUUAGAUACCCUG